rnacentral:rRNA from 1 species
UACGUAGGGGGCGAGCGUUGUCCGGAAUGAUUGGGCGUAAAGGGCGUGUAGGCGGUUCAUUAAGUCUGAAGUGAAAGUCCUUUUUUCAAGGGAGGAAUUGCUUUGGAUACUGGAGAACUAGAGUGCAGGAGAGGUUAUCGGAAUUCCCGGUGUAGCGGUGAAAUGCGUAGAGAUCGGGAGGAACACCAGUGGCGAAGGCGGGUAACUGGACUGCAACUGACGCUGAGGCGCGAAAGUGUGGGGAG